AUCGAACGCUGGCGGCAGGCCUAACACAUGCAAGUCGAGCGAGCGGCGGACGGGUGAGUAAUGUAUGGGGACUGCCUGAUAGAGGCGGAUAACGACUGGAAACGGUGGCUAAUACCGCAUACUACCCGAUAACCCAUAUGGGAUUAGCUAGUAGGUGGGGUAAAGGCUCACCUAGGCGACGAUCUCUAGCAGGUCUGAGAGGCUGAUCAGCCACACUGGGACUGAGACACGGCCCAGACUCCUACGGAGGCAGCAGUGGGGAAUCUUGGGCAAUGGGCGCAAGCCUGAUGGAGCCAUGCCGCGUGUAUGAAGAAGGUCUUAGGGUUGUAAAGUACUUUCAUCGGGGAGGCGUUAUCCAACCAGGAAGCCCCGGCUAACUCCGUGCCAGCAGCCGCGGUAAUUC
rnacentral:rRNA from 1 species